rnacentral:rRNA from 1 species
GACGAACGCUGGCGGCGUGCUUAACACAUGCAAGUCACGGGGGCCCGCAAGGGUAACCGGCGAACGGGUGCGUAACACGUGACCAACCUGCCCUCGUGUGGGGGAUAGCCGGGCUAACGCCCGGGUAAUACCGCAUACGUUCUUUUCAGGGAGUCCUGGAAAGAGGAAAGCGCCGGCAACGGCGUGCACGGGGAGGGGUCGCGGCCUA